GUUCAAUUUGCUAAUGCAAGGGUUGAUUUUAUGUGAAGCCAUGCUGAGGCCUCAUUUUGUUCCCCAGGCUGGAGUGCAGUGGUGUGAUCUCAGCUCACUGGAACCUCCGCCUCCUGAUUUCAAGCGAUUCUCUUGCCUCAGCCUCCUGAGUAGCUGGGACUACAGGUGCGCCUGGCUAAUUUUUGUAUUUUUUGGUAGAGACGGGAUUUCACCAUGUUGGC
rnacentral:lncRNA from 1 species